rnacentral:rRNA from 1 species
AACGAACGCUGGCGGCAUGCCUAACACAUGCAAGUCGAACGAGACCUUCGGGUCUAGUGGCGCACGGGUGCGUAACGCGUGGGAACCUGCCCUUAAGUUCGGAAUAACUCCCCGAAAGGGGUGCUAAUACCGGAUAAUGUCUUCGGACCAAAGAUUUAUCGCCUUUGGAUGGGCCCGCGUUGGAUUAGCUAGUUGGUAGGGUAAAAGCCUACCAAGGCGACGAUCCAUAGCUGGUCUGAGAGGAUGAUCAGCCACACUGGGACUGAGACACGGCCCAGACUCCUACGGGAGGCAGCAGUGGGGAAUAUUGGACAAUGGGCGAAAGCCUGAUCCAGCAAUGCCGCGUGAGUGAUGAAGGCCUUAGGGUUGUAAAGCUCUUUUACCCGGGAUGAUAAUGACAGUACCGGGAGAAUAAGCUCCGGCUAACUCCGUG